rnacentral:rRNA from 1 species
UGAGGAAUAUUGGUCAAUGGACGGAAGUCUGAACCAGCCAAGUCGCGUGAAGGAUGACUGCCCUAUGGGUUGUAAACUUCUUUUGUAUUGGGAGAAUAAGCCUUACGUGUAAGGUGAUGACUGUACAAUACGAAUAAGCAUCGGCUAACUCCGUGCCAGCAGCCGCGGUAAUACGGAGGGUGCGAGCGUUAAUCGGAAUCACUGGGCGUAAAGCGCUCGUAGGCUGUUUGUUAAGUCAGAGGUGAAAUCCCACGGCUCAACCGUGGAACUGCCUUUGAUACUGGCAGACUAGAAUCCGGGAGAGGGUGGCGGAAUUCCAGGUGUAGGAGUGAAAUCCGUAGAUAUUAGGAGGAACACCAGUGGCGAAGGCGGCCUGCUGGGCUUUAACUGACGCUGAGGCUCGAAAGCGUGGGGAGCAAACA